CGGAUUGUAAAGCUCUGUUUUUAGUGAAGAAACAAAUGACGGUCGCCAAAGAGGAAGCCACGGCGAACUACCUGCCAGCAGCCGCGGUAAUACAUAGGUGUCAAGCGCUGUCCGGAAUUACUGGGUGUAAAGGGUGCGCAGGCGGGAUUGCAAGUUGGAUGUGAAAUACCGGGGCUUAACCCCGGAGCUGCAUCCAAAACUGUAGUUCUUGAAUGGAGUAGAAGUAAGCGGAAUUCCGAGUGUAGCGGUGAAAUGCGUAGAUAUUCGGAGGAACACCAGUGGCGAAGGCAGCUUACUGUGCUCUAACUUACGCUGAUGCACGAAAACAUUGGUAGCAAACAGGAUUAGAUACCCUGGUAGUCCAUUCUGUAAACGAUGAAUGCUAGU
rnacentral:rRNA from 1 species